CAGCAAGUGCAAAGUGUAGAGAAUGAUGCAAUUUCCUGUUUUUAUAACUCCUUAUAACUUUUUAAAAUGGAGCUGCAUAGGAAAAAAAAGACCUGAACACAAACCAGUCUAAUAAUAACUACAUGUCAACAUCGCAGUCGGGGGUGAGAAAAGUGUAUUUUCUGUGAAAUUAAUUUCUAAAGGCCGUCUGCCGCUCCAUUCACUUGGCUGGCAGAAUCGAGGUUUAUGACUUGUACUGCAGCCAGGCUCUAGGGGGUGCUGUUCUCGGAGUGGCUUCACUCGGCGAGGAGACAGACGGCGUCCAUCUUAUAUACAGUCUAUGGUUGAUACAUGAGGCCCCAGAUGUCUGUAAUGAUAUCCGCGGAUAUUCGGUGCAGCGGCGGCAAGGAGGAUGCAGGGGCUGCGUGAUCACAGACAAAAUCUCGGUACUAUUUAGUAGCAGCGCAUUCCCCUUGUAAUAACCCCCGUAAGAACUGUUGUUCAGGACUGCUUACUUGUGCUUCCUACGCAUUCGGCUACUGUAAUAACCGUUGUUCAAGCCCACACGCAACAUUUUUGCUCUCAUUCAUAAAACGCUUAAAUCUGGGACAUUUUCAGGGACAGCUUUUGCCGGGGGCAGGUCUUCUAAUUCGGGGACUGUACCCGGAAAUCAGGGACGUCUGGUCACCUUAUGCUAAAGGCUAAAAAUGGCAGGUAUUAAACCAUAUAUUUUAGACCCCGAGUCCGAAGAGGAGGUGGAAGUUGAAGAAGAAGCCAGAGAUCUCCAGCGGUGUUUUCAUUCAUUCUGCCCAGCAUUAAGUUCAUUUUCCCGGCAGUGAACCCAAGGAAACACCGGUCGUUUGGAACAGACCCAUAGCGGAUACAGUGGUAGCUGGGUCUCACUCUGGCUGGAGAGUGAUGUUGACUGUGACUGGGUACGAGAACGAGAGAGUGGGCGCGGCUCACUGAGGAUGCACUCGUGAAUAAUAAUGAGCAAGGUCAGCGCGACAUCAGAAGGACCUGCUUUUUCAAUUGGCCUGGUUUACCCGUUUAUUUUAAACCUUUACAGAAUGCAAACGACGUAACGGUUUGUUUUCACAUUUACAACAAAAGAUGAACAUAAUAUGGACCUUAUCUGACACAAAAACACACAAAAUUACAUUUUUGAUGGCAGGUCGCCUUUAACACAAUGUAACUCGGCAACUUUAAGCAUUUUGUUACCAUACCGUACAGUUUUUAUCCUCUAUUUCUUAUGCCUCAAAUUUUCCUGCUUCUCCUCAUCCUUUAUACGGUACAGCACGUGUUGUUAACCACACACAGCGCCUGCCAUCAGCGAUGUUUACAUCACACAGCAGGAAAGGCAGCUGGCAUGAGACAGGUUGUAAAGCUUUAAUGCAGAAAGGUGAGUAAACGUUAAAACAGUCGGACUCAAUCAGCAGCCAAAACGGUAUUUGAAAUAAAUUGACAGGAGAUAGGAGUUUGUAUUAGAGGGUGUAGUGACAGAACCAAAAAAAGUCGCUUGAGCUCGGAGUCGGGUCUCUCUCUGUCCGACGCGCUGCCUUAAUCAAACAAAAAAAACGCCAAAACAAAUACGCUUCGUUUGAAGGUUUAUUAAACAAAAGGGAAAUAACUGCCAACUACCAAUUUGGCUCUAAAAUAAACAACAAUCUCACAAAACCAAAGUCUGCGGCGGUGACGGUGGCGGUGGCGGUCAACAAAAAUUACGGCGUCCCGUCCCCCGUGCUCUCCACAAAACCAAAAUGAAAUUCCAGGUGUGCUCAGGUCCUCUUAAUAACAAAUCACCGGCCCUAUCUGUGAUGUAAUCCCUGUGAUGACCCCAAACAAUAUCAAACACCACAUGUGACAACCCAAAUAAUUCAACUUCAAAAAUAAAUCUAUUCAUGGCUCUAACACCCCAGCCCCUAAUUAUUAAGUUAUUACAUAAUAAUUAUUCAAAUUACAAAUUAUUAAGAGACAUGAUAUAGUUUAAGAUCAAUACUCGAGGUCCUCAAGAUGCAAUCUUCUUUUCUUCUUAUCUUUUCCUGUAAAUAUGUCAGUCAGCAAGACCAGAGGUUACCAGCACAUGGUCUUAAUCAGAGUGAUCUUUACCAUCACUUCAAGUCAGUCAGUCAGUAUAGUCAGAGUCAGUCAGAGUCAGAGUAAGAAAGGAGGUCAAGAGGUCAUGAUGCACCAGCCAUGUCUUCUCCAGCUUCUGCCUCUUGUAGUAGACAGACUUUAGUUAUUGGCCUGCCCAAACAGCUGCUCUUAGUUUUGAUGCGCACCUGACGCACAAAUCCUCUUCUAUCUGGAAAGGUUUGCAGAACUCUCCCCAUGACCCAUGAAUUCCGAGGUGCUGUGUUGUCAACUAUAAGCACUAUAUCUCCAGGAAUAAGGUUGCGCUUCACGCCUGACCAUUUCUGCCGCUCCUGCAGCUGCGGUAGGUAUUCUUUUACCCAUCUCUUCCAGAACAAGUCUGCCAUGUACUGGACUUGCUUCCACCGUCUACGGGCAUACAUGUCUGUCUCCUGAAUAACUCCUGAUGGCAGAGAUGGUACAGUCUUUAGAAGUAAAAGAUGGUUGGGUGUCAGGGCUUCUAGGUCGUUAGGAUCUGUUGACGCUUUGGUAAUGGGCUGCCCGUUGAUAAUAGCUUCUGCUUCACAAAGAACAGUGUGAAGGCCCUCUUCGUCCAGGUUUUGUACUGUCAGUGUGGAGUUAAGCACUUUCCGUACUGAUCUUAUCAACCUCUCCCAAGAUCCUCCGUGGUGUGAACCCGCCGGAGGGUUAAAAGUCCAUUUUAUUCCUUACUGAAGGAGGGCUUCAUUGAUCUGAGACUGAUUCCAUUGCUCAAUUGCUGUUCUCAGCUCACGCUCUCCUCCUAUGAAAUUUGUUCCGUUAUCUGAGCGCAGCUCUCGCACUUGUCCACGUCUCGCCAUAAAGCGUCUGAGUGCGUGUAUGAAAGAGUCUGUAUCCAACGAAGCUGCUGCCUCAAUAUGGAUCGCUCGUAUGGCCAAGCAGGUAAAGAUUACUCCAUAUCUUUUCACCACAGUUCUCCUGCUUUUAACCUCAAAGGGUCCAAAAUAGUCUACUCCAACUCGAGUGAAUGGAGGCUCGUCGGGAGUCACUCUUUCAGCUGGCAAGUCUGCCAUCUGUUGGGACAUGGGCUGAGCAUUAAACCCGCCGACAGACAGCACACCUUGACAAAACUUUCCUUAUGACAGUGCUGGCACCAGUGAUCCAAUAUUUCGCAUGAAGUUUGCACAAGAUAUAAUUACGGCCUCCAUGUUCAACUUCUUGAUGGAUGUGUUGUAACAGGAGUCCAGAAAUAUGCAAAUCCUUGGCCAGUAUUAUGGGGUGUUUAGUUUCUGUAGGCAUAGAUGACCUGCUGAGCCGACCACAAACGCUGAGAACACCAUCCUCCAUCUGGGGGCAUAAUGUGUAGAUGUUACUGUGACCCUUCACCCUUUAGCCCUUUUGCAGCUUAGAAAACUCCUCCGGAAACCCUUCUCAUUUGGCAAAACUUGAUGAUCUCUAGUUCCGCCUUCUCCAGUUCCUCCACCAAUAAGCAAGUUGCAAUCAUGCUCCUCUUGUACAUUUCCAUGGUCUUUUCUAAUUUCCGUCGUUGUUCCAUGUCCAAGUCAGACUGUGCGGUGGCUGUACUCAAUUGUGUGACCAUGCGUACACACAAAACCUAGUGGUAGGACAGUAAAACUACAAAUAGAACCCAUUAAAGGAGUCACAGCGUUCCCCAAUCUCAAACUCCACACAUGUUCCCGUUGCCUCUAUACAAAAUUUAUCAAUUAGUAAUUUAGCAGACAUUUUGAAUGAUUGGUGAGACAAGCUAUAAAAAUCUGCUGUGACAGGACAACCUCACAAGAAUUCUUACAAGUACAAAUACAAGUAUCACGGUUUAUUUUGCGCUAUUGGAGGACUUGGAGAAGCGUCUGCUCCUCCGCUGGGAGCGCGUUUUCAAAGAGCGUGCUGAUCUGUUCAGUGAAAACUCAGAGUGGAUUCUCAGCAGGUACCGCUUCCCCAAAACAUUUUAAUGGAUUUACGCCGUGAUUUACCACCCGUGUCGGAGCGAGAAACAAAACGCACCAAAGCCAUCCCAGCGCACAUCCAGCUCCUGUCCACCCUAACCCGAACAUUUCAGCAUGAGAUUUGAGACAUAUGCGAUAUUUCGCAGCCAACGCUAAACGGAAUCAUGCCGGCAGAGUUGGAUGUAAUAAUUUCUCCGGCCUCAAUUUACAUACAGUUCCCAAACACACAUCUGCAACAAGCCGAAAUAAAACGAGGAUUUCACGCCAUCGCCGGAUUCCCAAACAUAAGUGGAGCCAUAGAUUGCACCCACAUCGCAAUAAAAGCACCUUCACACGAUAAAUUCAGAUUUGUCAACAGGAAAAGAUUUCAUUCAAUCGAUGCACAAAUAAUCUGCGAUACACAUUUGAUUCUGUUAAACGUUGUUGCCCGGUGGCCUGGAGGAACGCACGACUCAUUCAUUCUGCAGAAUAGCGCUGUGAGUGUGCACCUCCAGGAGGAGGAAAAACAUUCAUACACGCAUUUUUAAAGGGAUUGUUGAUGCCAUAUAUGGUCAAUUGGAGGCGUUCCUGAAUGCAAAUGACUCUAACCAUGCACGAGUACGGUAGUAAAGAACAGGUGGGAUUUAUCAUCACCGAUUACUUACGUGUGUGUACGACCGGUGUCCGCACGUUUGAUAAAUAUGGAUUUUUUUGUACUUACGCACAUUCUAAAUUUCAUUCCUACGCAAGAAUAUAGAACCUUUUCUACGCACGAUUGAUAAAUAAGGCCCCUGGUGAGUGGUCUAUCCUUGAUGACAAUUCGGAACUUGAACGGGUCAGAUUGGAUGCACCAUUCCACACCAAGUACUCUUUCCACUGUUAGUAGGUUCUGCUCCAGAUCCAAUCCUCUCAUCUCCUUAGCUCUGUGCCCUUUAGGUAUCGUAGCCAAAACAUCACGCCUGUUGCUUAUCCACUUUGUGAGAUGAAAUCCUCCAGCAGCACAGAUGGAGACCAGUUCAUGAUACAGAGCUAUUGCUUCGUGUUCUGAGGCCACUGACACCAGACAGUCGUGGACAUAAAAACAGUGCAGGACCUUAUCCACUGCUUCUGAGCUGAACCGUGCUUUGUUGUCUUCAGCACAUCUUCUGAGGGCAAAAUUUGCACAGCUGGGGGAAGAGGUCGCCCCAAAGAGAUGCACUUUCAUUCGGAAGUCGACAAGGUCUUGACUCAUGUCCCCAUUUGGCCACCAGAGGAACCUCAACAAAUCAGCAUCCUCAGCUGGCACUUGUACCUGAUAAAACAUGGAUUCCACGUCAGCCAUGAUCACCACUGGUUCUUUCCAAAAUCUGGUCGCCACUCCUAUCAGUGAACUUGUAAGAUCAGGGGCCUCAUGUAUCAACACUGGCAGCGCCAGAAAACCUUGCGUCCGCCAAGAUCGGCGCACACGUCCAGAUUUAUCAUCGCGACACAAGCGUCGGUUCCAGCGCUAAUCAACGCAAAGUGAGGAGGUGGUGUAGAAGUUGGCGUUGAGCCGAUACUUGCGUUGACGGAAAUUUGGCGACGCUGUGUGGCGGUGUUUGGUGACUCACUAUGUGACAAGCUUGAACCACAUCCCCGUGGCCGAGCAGCACGUCGCCCCACAUGACGAACCAGCAGCAGACGGAGGGAUGCGAGCUGAUCCCUGCCGGGCCGCAGUCCUCGCGCGGGAGAAUCUCAUCGCCACAGUGUGAAUGGGUAAGAAGUGAAUACACAGUUCAAUGAGGCAAAUUAAUUUAUUUUCGCCACCAGACGCUCGAGGACAUUUACGAGCCGGUCCAGCCGCUCGUUGAUCCCCGCGAUCCCCCUGAUGAUUUCUUCCUGCGAUUGCAGGACCGCCUCCGUGAGGACCCUUCCACUGCGUCUGGGUGGUCCAGCGGAAGCGCCGCGGCUGGUGGACGCUCCACCGCGCUGGUGCUGAUGCUGGUGCUGGUGCUGGGGCCGGGGGCCGGGGUGGCCCGAAUGCCGCUGGUCCUGGCCGACGACUCUGAGCCGGCGGACGGGCUGCCCCGGGCCGGGGUUCCACAAGCCGGCGACACGGCCGACACAUUGAUUUCUGUGACACAAUAAAAAUAUUGUUUCAUUUCAAUUCCUGCUUCUGUGUAUCUGUUGCGUUUACAUCUCUCUUCACGGUAUCAUAGGUAAUGUAAUCCAGUAUUUAGAGGUCAGUUAUGCACAUUACAGUUGUUUAUUGCAUAAACAGUUAUCGAAAAAUGAAGUUAAGGGCGAAGUAUAAAUCACGUCUAAAAAUAGACUGAAUCCCGACGUUGAAAUGAAGUAUAAACUUUGACUAGACGUCUAAUAUACGUCUUUUGCUCAGUGGGAUGGCAAAGCAUGUGGACAUUUGUGUGACACGCCACUUACCCUAUAAUAAUAAUCGCCACCACCCGCUGCUCAAACAGCGUGAGGGUCUCCUCCCCCGGAACCCCACCUGUCUGGCCGGUACUCCUCCGGAGGGCAGCUGUACGCCGCUUGACCUCCACCUGGAGGUCCGACCACUUUUUUGUAAUCUCUGCGGGGGUGCGUGUCUCGGAACCCACCACGUUCACCCUCUCGCAAACUUUCUCACACUCCAAGCGUUUUCGUUUUGCAUUGAUGCCACUGGACAGGCUGCCAAACAAAACACGCUGUCGCUCCUCCACCUCCGCCACCAGCACCUCCACCUCGCACGCCGUAAAUUUAGUUUUUCUUGUCAUUUUGUCUGCGUGCGAGGACAGGGAGACCCUAUUUAAAUAAAUCUGCAUAUUUAUAGGAGGGCGUAACAGGGGUGGGCCCGGUCACUCCGACAUCUGCACUCAAUUCCAAGCUGAUUGGGAUUUAUCAAGGAAACACACAUGGCUUUCGGCGCCUGCACACCUUGAUACAUACGGAUUUUUUUCAGCGUGACGGAACUUGCAUGCGCUCGUUUCUGGUAUGAGUCCCACGCAAGUGUUGAUACAUGAGGCCCCUGGUCCCUGCAGGAGUUCAGAGUUAAGGGAUGGCUCGCACCACAGUCAAAGACAACUCGGAUCUUUCUUUUUGUUGGAUGGUAAACCCCAUGAUGUGGGAUGUACCACACUUUGCCAUCCCUGCAUUCAAUCUACUCCUCUGGCACCUUUUUGGCAUAACCUUUGGCAAUAAGGUCAGUCAUGAAAGAAAUAUAAUCAGCAUGAAACAAAGGAUCCUUGUCAAACCUCCUUUUCAGAUGGAGGGUGCACUGCUCAAUGAUCUUCCUGUUGUUUCGCAUGCUAACGUCCUUGUUCCUCAGUGGUAGGCUGAUCUGAUUGUGACCAUUAACUUGCUUUGUUGAGUUUGUGACCAGUUCCAUAAACUUAUGAUCUUCCCUUGACAUGCCAGGUUCCUCGUCCAUACUGCAUUCCGGGAAAUCCAUUUUAUACUGUCGCUGCCAGAGUUCAUUCAAAUCCAUAACUGAAAUCCGGUUUACAGAUAGUUCUGGCUGCUCAAAGUCGAUCCCAUCACCACUGUCUCCUCCCAGUGGUCCAUUCACCGUCCAUCCCAACAUUGUCCUGACGGCAUAUGGUCCAUUAUUGACACUGCGAAUAACCUCCAGUGGUUCCAUCACCUUGGCAGCAUUCAUUCCAAUAAGCAGCUCGAUCCCUGCAUCCACUCUGGGUAAAUCAACAUUCUUUAAAUGAGGCCAUCUCAGAAGAUCACUUUGUUUUGGUAUAUUCCCUCUGUGAACCGGCAUGUGUUUCUGUGAGUAUGCAUCUGGUAGCUCGCAGAAGUGCUCUUCAUGCAAGUCAGCAACCUCCAGCCCUGUCACGAUAUGACUUUCAAUAACUUUCUCCUGGCCCAUUGUGCGCAGGAGAAUGCGGAUCUUCUUUCCUGUGAGGCCCAGCUGGUGCAUAAAGGCCUCUGUACAGAAAACCGCUGUACUCCCUGGAGCCAAGAAAGCAUAUGUGGUAAUGAUCUUGUUCCCCUUAUUGGACUUGAUCUUCACUGGAACUAUAGGAAGCUUACAGUUGCGAUCUCCAGCCCCUGUAAGAACACUUGACAUCAGAGUGCUGUCCACUGGCACUUCUGACUUCCUUUCAGUCUGGUCAGGUUCCUUUUUUUAUCCUUUGGAAAGAUGUGGAGUAUUGUGGGAUGCUUAAGGACACAUUUAGCACAUGAAAUCCGCUUUUUACAAUCUCUACUCAUGUGUCCAAUACACAAACAACCAAAGCAGACUCCAUUUUCUCUCAAGAAGCUUAUCUUCCCUUUGUGAGCUCUUUUUCCCAACUGGGGACACAAAUCCAAACUGUGUCCUUCACCACAACAAAGACAGUCCUUCCGUGAUAUUUGAACAUGACCCUUAUCUUUGAUGCCAAUACCAGUUUUGUUUUCCGUGGGUGCUACCAAGGUGGCAAAGCUUGUUCCCUUUGCUCCUGAGCGAGGUCAUGGUUCGCGUUUGCGAACUGUCAGGAUCUGUCAGGAUUCUCACUUGCUUUUCAAUAAAGUUGGUAAUGUCAAUAAAUGUUGCUCUUCGGCUGCUCUUUUCCUGCAGUUCACUGGCAAUAGUUCUCCAUUUGUCCCUUAAUUUAUAGGGCAACUUUCUGAUGAUGGUCAACAUAUUAGCGGGAAUACUUAAUUCGUGCAAGUAUUGCAUUUCUUCAACAGCAUUACAGCAGCCCCUGAGAAAAAAGCUGUACUCUUUAAGGGCCUUUACAUCUUCAGCUCUGAUGGGUGGCCAUGAGAGAGCCCUUUCCAUAUAUGCUGACGCCACUUUCAGCUCAUUUCCAAACUGCUCCUUUAAUAGGGUCUUAGCCAUAGCAUAUCCUCUCGCAGGAUCCAUAUGCUGGCAGCUUCUGACGAGUUCUCUGGGGUGACCUCUAGUGUACUGCUCCAGGUAAUAAAGUCGGUCACUACAAUUGACAGUAUUCUUCCCCACAGCAUUUUCAAAGGCCUUCACAAACGCAUGAUAGCAUAAAGGAUUGCCAUCGAAAGUUGGUAUCUCUCUUUUGGGCAAGGAAGAAAAGCUUUGCUUUUGUAUUAACAGUGAUGUAAUUUCAUUUUGCCUUCUCAUAAUGUCAACCAUAUUGUUUCCAUCUUCAUUUUGUGGCAUCAUAUCUGGAUUUAUGACAUUUUGCAUCCUGCUUUCUUUUUGGACACUCUGAUAUGUUAAAGGUUGCUUUGGUUCUUGAUAUUCCAUUGACAUUGGCUCAGAAUGAAUGAACUGAGAUGGAUACUGUUCCUUAGGCCUUACUCCUGCCGCCAGGUGGCAAUGUUCAAUAUCCUUCUGUGCCAUUGCUGGGACGAAUGAACUAGCCUUCAGGUUAAGUGUUUGUGUUUUUCCUUGGCUUUUUCCCAAAUAAGAAUUCAUUCCAUCCGAAUACCUUGCCAUCAAGGUUUUUCCACUCAUGAUGCUCCGAGAUCUAUACACGGUCAGUUUCGCCAUGUGUACGGCAAUUUGCUCGUCCAGUUGAAGCUGCUCUCUCCUUUGGCGCAACCGCUCCUCCUCUUCUUCCAGUUCAUGCUUGCUCUUUAAUAGAUUUUGUUUUAUCUGUAAUGCAGCUAGUUCAGCUUCAGCUUUAAAACAAACAGAAGAAAUGCUAGAAGCAGCAGACCUUUUCCCCAUAGAUGAGGCGUUUGAUUUUGCUGCUUUGGUUCCCACAUUUGACACUCUGUCACUUGGCUUUACUCCAUCUUGCAUGUCAUCUGCCCGGAGUAGAGAUGCAUCCUCCAUUGUUGAUUUCAAACCUUGUGAGAUUGGUUGAUGAAAAGUGGGCAGUGGUGUUUGAGGUUCACCAGGUGAAUACUCUGGCUCAUCAAAUUCAGCCAGGCAAGAUUUAACGGGAUGUUUGCUAUCAGAUAAUUUCUCUGAUUCAUUCAGCCACCUUUCAGUAUUCCCUUUAAAUGCAUUGCUGUAAGACAUGAUGCUGUUAAACCAACCAGUUUGUAUUAUUUGUUCAUCCUCAGGGAUUAAAGGAAUGAACUCAUUGUGUGACGCUGUGGCAUUUUUACAAAGUUUGAUUACAUUAUCCAAGAGGAGUCGCACUUGUGAGACAUUUUCUCUACUGUUCACCAGUCCUUUAAUUUGAGGUAUGAGCCCUUUAAUUUUUUUCACGGUUGUUUUCCGUUCCUUUUGAAGCUUCUCAAUUUUAUUUUGCAAAGCCUUUGCAGUGAGUUUAACUUCUCAUUUUCCUUUAUCCAUUCCAAAGCUUGCAACCUCAUUAUUUAUUUGAUUCAUUUUCCUUAUAUCGCUCGUGCAUUCAACGCAUGCACAUACGAGACGACAUCCUUCCAGCCGACAUCACAUUCAGCGCAUCAGCAGGGUUUCCUUCCAUUCAUACACAGCUUAGCUGGUUUACGCGCAUCACAGCUCACCUGAUUUCAGUGAUGGAUUGGAGAGUUUCAUCCAUCAUGGCUCCACCGAUGUCUUCAUUCCCGGGGUUCCAUUCAUUAAUCCUCGUUCCAUUAAUUCCUUGAUCGUUUGCGCUGUCCGUUGAUGUCUCCUUUAAUGCCUUUUUUUGUUGACAAAAUGUAGCGACAGAACCAAAAAAGGCGCUUGAGCUCGGAGUCGGGUCUCUCUCUGUCCGACGCGCUGCCUUAAUCAAACAAAAAAAACGCCAAAACAAAUACGCUUCGUUUGAAGGUUUAGAGAAAUAACUGCCAACUACCAAUUUGGCUCUAAAAUAAACAACAAUCUAACAAAACCAAAGUCUGCAGCGGUGACAGCGGCGGUCAACAAAAAUUACGGCGUCCCGUCCCCGUGCUCUCCACAAAACCAAAAUCAAAUCCCAGGUGUGCUCAGGUCCUCAUAAUAACAAAUCACCGCCCCUAUCUGUGACGUAAUACCUGUGAUGACCCCAAACAAUAUCA